ensembl:lncRNA
GAUGGCACACGACGCAACGAUCAAAGUGUUGAUUUAUCUCUCUGACUUUGCGUUGCUGGUGCACAUUGCACCACGGCGCUGAGGUCACAGUGCAGAGCAACUGUGAAACCGCAGCUCACAAAUAUCACAUUCUUGCGAAAAUAACGUUAGCCGGUUCCAUUUUAAGUCUUCAAAUGUUUGGAUUUUCUGUUUCCUCCGCUGCAGAACGCUCGUGGUGAUUCAUCAAGAAAAACAAAUGGUCGACUUCAAAUUGGGCUUCUUGUUGGAACGUGACGGGGGCCUUUGAGAAGCAUCACCUGUUCCACACAAAUCCAACGGCCUUGUCUCUGCCCUGCCAGCUGCUGACAGCACGAGUCACUUUGAGUUGCUAUCAGCUCCAUCCUCCCAGCAUCCUCUGAGGAAGGAAGCAGGGCCAGGCUGCACCAGAGCCCCGCAAGCUUUGCAUCACCAUCUCCUGCAGGGACACUGGUUAUUUUUGGACCAAGGGCGGAUCACAUUACGACGGCGAAGAGGACCCCUCGGACAGGAAAUCGCCCAGCACGCCACCCAGCAGGUCCCGUUGGCUCUCAGCCGACCCGACUGUGAUUCGGCCUCAUAUGCAGACGUCGGUCAGGGAGAGAAACGCCUCACAGAACAAGAGACCCGUCUCCAGCGACGGGUGACCUCUAAAAUCCCAUCAGCCCCGGUGGGACACGACCUGCACGCUGUCGCUGUGUGCAAAAAGGGCAGCAAGCUGAGGAAGCCAGGAAACAGAAGCUCACAUUGGAACAAAUGGAUCAAUGGUGUGAUUUGUCUCCUCCGUCAUCCCAAUUUGACACCUCACCCCCUCCCUCCCCCCUCCGAGAACGGAGGUGAAGUCACUGCACCUGCCUGCUCCCACUGUGACUACACCACCCAUAAUGAGGGCGAGUCAUCAACUUAAACGGUUUACUUGACUCAACAAG